UUAGAGUUUKRACCUGGCUCAGGAUGAACGCUGGCGKCGUGCCUAAUACAUGCAAGUCGAACGCACUUUCGUUGAAUGAAUUAGAGGUGCUUGCACCGAAGAUGAUUUUAGCUAUAAAGUGAGUGGCGAACGGGUGAGUAACACGUGGGUAACCUGCCCAGAAGUGGGGGAUAACACCUGGAAACAGAUGCUAAUACCGCAUAACAAAGUAAACCGCAUGGUUUACUUUUAAAAGAUGGCUUCGGCUAUCACUUCUGGAUGGACCCGCGGCGUAUUAGCUAGUUGGUGAGAUAAAGGCUCACCAAGGCAGUGAUACGUAGCCGACCUGAGAGGGUAAUCGGCCACAUUGGGACUGAGACACGGCCCAGACUCCUACGGGAGGCAGCAGUAGGGAAUCUUCCACAAUGGACGAAAGUCUGARGGRGCAACGCYGCGUGAGUGAUGAAGGCUUUAGSGUYUUAAAACUCUGUUGUUGGAGAAGAACGUGUGUGAGAGUAACUGCUCAUGCAGGACGUWCCAGAGAGAUGC
rnacentral:rRNA from 1 species